rnacentral:rRNA from 1 species
AGAGCGAACGCUGGCGGCAGGCCUAACACAUGCAAGUCGAGCGGCCGUAGCAAUACGGCAGCGGCAGACGGGAGAGUAACACGUGGGAACGCGCCCUUCGGUUCGGAAUAACUCAGGGAAACUUGGGCUAAUACCGAAUAAGCCCUUACGGGGAAAGAUUUAUCGCCGAAGGAUCGGCCCGCGUCUGAUUAGCUAGUUGGUGGGGUAACGGCCCACCAAGGCGACGAUCAGUAGCUGGUCUGAGAGGAUGAUCAGCCUCAUUGGGACUGAGACACGGCCCAAACUCCUACGGGAGGCAGCAGUGGGGAAUAUUGGACAAUGGGCGCAAGCCUGAUCCAGCCAUGCCGCGUGGGUGAUGAAGGCCCUAGGGUUGUAAAGCCCUUUCGGCGGGGAAGAUAAUGACGGUACCGCAGAAGAAGCCCGGCUAACUUCGUGCCAGCAGCCGC